CUUAUCUGGUUUAGUUGGAGUUGUUAUUAUCAUAUUUUUCUUUGGUUUGCUUUUUCAUUUGAAUACUUCUCUUCAUUUGUCUGUUAUUAAGCAACUCUGCCAUUUAUUUCAUAGCAUCAACUCCUUCAACCACUGCUGCUGGAAGUUCUAUGCGUUGACAUAAACUUGGACCCCAUUGCCUGACGUAUAUCGGAAAUCCAAAUGGUUUCCCACCUUUCCUAGCAUAAUUUUGUCAUGAUAUGAUUUUUAUUUUGAAGGAACCAUCAUCCUAUUGGUACAAUUUCUUGGCCUUGGAUUGUUUUUUGCAUUGUAGGAGCAGGAUGAGGGAAGUCACACUCUUUCUACUGGUUUUCUUAUCUUGAUUAGUUACUCAAAGCAUCUCUGAAACGCCGGAGUGCCAUAUUGAAGUUCAGUUCAACAUUCAAUCAGCUGAGGAUUAUACUACGCAUUCAAAUAGAGGUAAUCUCCAUUGAACACCUAAUUAGCCUGUGUUGAGGGGGGAAAUUUUGUAGGUUGGUGCUGUUCUUUUUCCGGGAUCGAUGAUUAGGUUGGGGCAGCAUGUGUUGCCUGUCUGUGAUUUGUGUGAGCUAUGUAGUUGGGAAUAAGAGUGCUUAUGGUUGGGACUUGGACUGUCAAAAUAUAGCCAUGUUUAAGGUUUUUACAUGUCUGUCAUGAUCUGAGAACUUUAGCUUGAAGUGGGAUUUCACAAUUUAUAGAUUCUUGUUGGAAAGAAAAUGUAAAUUCAACCCUGCUGUGAUGCUGUUUGGAUUGGUUUUUUGAAAUUAUGGAUUUGGUAUUGACUUUCAGUAU